AGAGUUUGAUCAUGGCUCAGGACGAACGCUGGCGGCGUGCUUAACACAUGCAAGUCGAACGGAAAGGCCCGCUUGCGGGUACUCGGGUGGCGAACGGGUGAGUAACACGUGGGCAACCUGCCCUCAGCUCUGGGAUAACUCCGGGAAACCGGUGCUAAUACUGGAUAUCAACUUCUGCUCGCAUGGGUGGUUGUUGAAAGUUUUUCGGCUGGGGAUGGGCCCGCGGCCUAUCAGCUUGUUGGUGGGGUAAUGGCCUACCAAGGCGACGACGGGUAGCCGGCCUGAGAGGGCGACCGGCCACACUGGGACUGAGACACGGCCCAGACUCCUACGGGAGGCAGCAGUGGGGAAUAUUGCGCAAUGGGCGGAAGCCUGACGCAGCGACGCCGCGUGAGGGAUGACGGCCUUCGGGUUGUAAACCUCUUUCAGCUCUGACGAAGCGAGAGUGACGGUAGGAGCAGAAGAAGCACCGGCCAACUACGUGCCAGCAGCCGCGGUA
rnacentral:rRNA from 1 species